rnacentral:rRNA from 1 species
AUUGAACGCUGGCGGCAGGCUUAACACAUGCAAGUCGAGCGGAGACUUCGGUCUUAGCGGCGAACGGGUGAGUAAUGCAUCGGAACGUGCCCAGUAGUGGGGGAUAGCCCGGCGAAAGCCGGAUUAAUACCGCAUACGACCUACGGGUGAAAGCGGGGACCGGUAAGGCCUCGCGCUACUGGAGCGGCCGAUGUCAGAUUAGGUAGUUGGUGGGGUAAAGGCCUACCAAGCCUACGAUCUGUAGCUGGUCUGAGAGGACGACCAGCCACACUGGGACUGAGACACGGCCCAGACUCCUACGGGAGGCAGCAGUGGGGAAUUUUGGACAAUGGGCGCAAGCCUGAUCCAGCCAUGCCGCGUGCGGGAAGAAGGCCUCG